rnacentral:tRNA from 1 species
CUGCCCUCCGAAGGCAGAGGUCACAGGUUCGAAUCCUGUCGGGUGCGCCA